rnacentral:rRNA from 1 species
AUUGAACGCUGGCGGCAUGCCUUACACAUGCAAGUCGAACGGUAACAGGUCUUCGGAUGCCGACGAGUGGCGAACGGGUGAGUAAUACAUCGGAACGUGCCUAGUAGGGGGGGAUAACUACUCGAAAGAGUGGCUAAUACCGCAGGAGAUCUACGGAUGAAAGCAGGGGAUCGCAAGACCUUGUGCUACUAGAGCGGCCGAGGGCGGAUUAGGUGGUUGGUGGGAUAAAAGCUUACCAAGCCGACGAUCUGUAGCUGGUCUGAGAGGACGAUCAGCCACACUGGGACUGAGACACGGCACAGACUCCUACGGGAGGCAGCAGUGGGGAAUUUUGGACAAUGGGGGCAAGACUGAUCCAGCAAUGCCGCGUGCAGGAUGAAGGCCUUCGGGUUGUAAACUGCUUUUGUACGGAACGAAAAGCCCCGGGUUAAUACCCUGGGGUCAUGACGGUACCGUAAGAAUAAGCACCGGCUAACUACGUGCCAGCAGCCGCCGUAA